rnacentral:rRNA from 1 species
CAAUAGCGUAUAUUAAAGUUGUUGCAGUUAAAAAGCUCGUAGUUGAAUUUUUGCUUGCCGCCGAUGUCGGAACUUCCGUACGUUCGGAGGCGUGCAUCCUUGGGUGGAACCUGUGUGGCAUUAGGUUGUCGUGCAGGGGAUGCUCAUCGUUUACUGUGAAAAAAUUAGAGUGUUCAAAGCAGGCUUACGCCGUUGAAUAUAUUAGCAUGGAAUAAUAAGAUAGGACCUUGGUACUAUUUUGUUGGUUUGCGCACCGAGGUAAUGAUUAACAGGGACAGUUGGGGGUAUUCGUAUUCCAUUGUCAGAGGUGAAAUUCUUGGAUUUCUGGAAGACGAACUACUGCGAAAGCAUUUACCAAGGAUGUUUUCAUUAA